AACGCGAAGAACCUUACCAAGGCUUGACAUAUACGAGAACGGGCUAGAAAUAGUCAACUCUUUGGACACUCGUAAACAGGUGGUGCAUGGUUGUCGUCAGCUCGUGUCGUGAGAUGUUGGGUUAAGUCCCGCAACGAGCGCAACCCUCGUUCUAUGUUGCCAGCACGUAAUGGUGGGAACUCAUAGGAGACUGCCGGGGUCAACUCGGAGGAAGGUGGGGAUGACGUCAAAUCAUCAUGCCCCUUAUGUCUUGGGCUUCACGCAUGCUACAAUGGCCGGUACAAAGGGCUGCAAUACCGCAAGGUGGAGCGAAUCCCAAAAAGCCGGUCUCAGUUCGGAUUGAGGUCUGCAACUCGACCUCAUGAAGUCGGAGUCGCUAGUAAUCGCAGAUCAGCAACGCUGCGGUGAAUACGUUCCCGGGCCUUGUACACACCG
rnacentral:rRNA from 1 species